AUGCUUAGCCAAUCUAUCACCUUUACCCUCAGUUUCUUUAGCAAGGCAGUGGUCAUCUUGGAGGUGUGUUUGGGCAUGCAUGUCUCCAGAGCU